rnacentral:rRNA from 1 species
GCAGUAGGGAAUCUUCCACAAUGGGCGAAAGCCUGAUGGAGCAACGCCGCGUGGGUGAAGAAGGUCUUCGGAUCGUAAAACCCUGUUGUUAGAGAAGAAAGUGCGUGAGAGUAACUGUUCACGUUUCGACGGUAUCUAACCAGAAAGCCACGGCUAACUACGUGCCAGCAGCCGCGGUAAUACGUAGGUGGCAAGCGUUAUCCGGAUUUAUUGGGCGUAAAGGGAACGCAGGCGGUCUUUUAAGUCUGAUGUGAAAGCCUUCGGCUUAACCGGAGUAGUGCAUUGGAAACUGGGAGACUUGAGUGCAGAAGAGGAGAGUGGAACUCCAUGUGUAGCGGUGAAAUGCGUAGAUAUAUGGAAGAACACCAGUGGCGAAAGCGGCUCUCUGGUCUGUAACUGACGCUGAGGUUCGAAAGCGUGGGUAGCAAACAGGAUUAGAUACCCUGGUAGUCCACGCCGUAAACGAUGAAUGCUAAGUGUUGGAGGGUUUCCGCCCUUCAGUGCU